UACGUAGGUGGCGAGCGUUGUCCGGAUUUACUGGGCGUAAAGAGCGCGCAGGCGGUCGUACAAGUCGCGUGUGAAAGCCCCCGGCUCAACUGGGGAGGGUCACGCGAUACUGUUCGACUCGAAGGCAGGAGAGGGUAGUGGAAUUCCCGGUGUAGUGGUGAAAUGCGUAGAUAUCGGGAGGAACACCAGUGGCGAAGGCGACUACCUGGCCUGUUCUUGACGCUGAGGCGCGAAAGCUAAGGGUAGCAAACGGGGAUUAA
rnacentral:rRNA from 1 species